rnacentral:rRNA from 1 species
AACCUUGUCUUUAAUUACCAGCAUUCAGUUGGGUACUUUAAGAGACUGCCGGUGUUAAAGCCGGAGGAGGUGGGAUGACGUCAAGUCCUCAUGGCCUUUAUGCCCAGGGCUACACACGUGCUACAAUGGGUGGUACAAAGAGCAGCGACCUCGCGAGAGUAAGCAAAUACUCAAAAAGCCAUCCUCAGUUCGGAUUGAAGUCUGCAACUCGACUUCAUGAAGUCGGAAUCGCUAGUAAUCGCGGAUCAGCGUGCCGCGGUGAAUACGUUCCCGGGCCUU